AGAGUUUGAUCCUGGCUCAGGAUGAACGCUAGCGGCAGGCCUAAUACAUGCAAGUCGAGGGGCAGCACGAAUAGCAAUAUUUGGUGGCGACCGGCGCACGGGUGCGUAACACGUAUGUAACUUACCCUUCACUGGGGAAUAGCCUUCCGAAAGGAAGAUUAAUGUCCCAUAACAUUUCGAAAAGGCAUCUUUUUGAAAUUAAAGCUCCGGCGGUGAAGGAUAGACAUGCGGGACAUUAGCUAGUUGGUGAGGUAAUGGCUCACCAAGGCUACGAUGUCUAGGGGAUCUGAGAGGACUAACCCCCACACUGGUACUGAGACACGGACCAGACUCCUACGGGAGGCAGCAGUAAGGAAUAUUGGUCAAUGGACGCAAGUCUGAACCAGCCAUGCCGCGUGCAGGAUGAAUGCCCUAUGGGUUGUAAACUGCUUUUGUACGGGAAGAAUAACUUUGACGUGUCAAAGGAUGACGGUACCGUAAGAAUAAGGAUCGGCUAACUCCGUGCCAGCAGCCGCGGUAAUACGGAGGAUCCAAGCGUUAUCCGGAUUUAUUGGGUUUAAAGGGUGCGUAGGCGGGAUAGUAAGUCAGUGGUGAAAGCUCAUAG
rnacentral:rRNA from 1 species